UACGGAGGAUGCGAGCGUUAUCCGGAUUUAUUGGGUUUAAAGGGUGCGUAGGCGGUCCGUUAAGUCAGCGGUAAAAUUGCGGGGCUCAACCCCGGCGAGCCGUUGAAACUGGCGGGCUGGAGUUGGAGAGAAGUACGCGGAAUGCGCGGUGUAGCGGUGAAAUGCUUAGAUAUCACGAAGAACUCCGAUUGCGAAGGCAGCAUACCGGCGCCCUACUGACGCUGAGGCACGAAAGCGUGGGUAUCGAACAGG
rnacentral:rRNA from 1 species